GUUCACUGGGGUAGCAUCGCCGGUCGGCGCCCGAAAUAUUGAAUAUGGCGGUCAAGCCAUGAAAAAUUAAAGAAAUUUUUAAUAAGUUUUCAAAUUGUUUUCCAAGAUUGCCAGAUUGUGAAGAUGAUAUGGCGUUACCUUUCUGUUGCAGUAACUGGCGAGUUUGGCUGAAGCCAUUGGCAGUCGUUGUUUACAUUUUAUUGCUGUGUAUUUCAGUGCCAUUAUGUAUUUGGGAACUGCACAACAGAAGAGCACAAACUCACACACAAGCUUGGUUUAUUGGCGCUAUAUUUGUGUUUUUCACGAUCGGUUUUGCAUUCGCCGGUAUAAUACAACAUCUGCUCAACUACACAAAACCUCAUCUACAAAGAUAUAUUCUUAGG